UACAGGGGUCCCAAGCGUUGUUCGGAUUCACUGGGCGUAAAGGGUGCGUAGGCGGUCGGGUAAGUCUGAUGUGAAAUCUCACAGCUUAACUGUGAAACUGCAUUGGAUACUAUCCGGCUCGAGGAAUGGAGGGGAGACUGGAAUACUUGGUGUAGCAGUGAAAUGCGUAGAUAUCAAGUGGAACACCAGUGGCGAAGGCGAGUCUCUGGACAUUUCCUGACGCUGAGGCACGAAAGCCAGGGGAGCAAACGGG
rnacentral:rRNA from 1 species